AACGCACCUUGCGCUCUCUGGUAUUCCGGAGAGCAUGUCUGUUUGAGUGUCAUGAACUCUUCAACCUACCAAUUUCUAGUAAAUCGGAUUAGUGUUUGGAUUCUGAACGCUUGCUGGCCUUUAUUGGCGAAGCUCGUUCGUAAAUAAUUAGCAUCUCAUAUUCGAAAAUCGGAUUGACUCAGUGUAAUAGACUAUUCGCUGAGGACGCUCUUUCGGGAGUGGCCGAGUUUUGUAAAGUAGAAGCUUCUAAUUCUAUUAGUCAACUUUAGAUUAGACCUCAGAUCAGGCAGGAUUACCCGCUGAACUUAA
rnacentral:misc_RNA from 1 species